rnacentral:rRNA from 1 species
UACGGGGGGUGCGAGCGUUGUCCGGAAUUACUGGGCGUAAAGGGCUCGUAGGCGGCCAACUAAGUCGGAUGUGAAAUCCCCAGGCUUAACCUGGGAACUGCAUCCGAUACUGGAUGGCUUGAAUUCGGGAGAGGGAUGCAGAAUUCCAGGUGUAGCGGUGAAAUGCGUAGAUAUCUGGAGGAAUACCGGUGGCGAAGGCGGCAUCCUGGACCGAGAUUGACGCUGAUGAGCGAAAGCUAGGGGAGCAAACAGG